CCUGAAUGCUAUCUACUUUAUUCAUGAGGCAUCAAUUUUUUUCCAUGGUCUCAUCAUCAUUAUAAACACCUGUUUUUCUCAUUCCCAUUUAUCUGUCAGUGGCAUUGCUCCUGUGUUUCCCUUUAGAUUCAUAAAGAGCCAGGUGCUACAGUGUGCCCUCAUUCUGUGAUCAAGGACACCAGCUUCCUAUGAAGCAAAUAGGUUUUCACAAGCUGUAAACAGAUUACACCUUCAGAGUGACUGAUAAAUGUCAGGAAGAAGAAAGGUCAGGUGUCUGGUACUGCAAGGUUGCUCUAAUGAGCUCUGUUAACAGAGAAAAUCAGAGAUCAGGAAUUCAUCAUUGUCUUCUAGAAAUAGUGUCUGAAAAGUAGAAUUAAAAUAGGAAAGGGCUCAACGUGUUUUGUAUUAGGAUUUUCACAGAAAAUCCAGACAGAUGCUGUCAGUGUACUGUCUGAUUUCUAGGAUUACUGAAAAGGGGAAGAGGAUCACAGGCCACAGUUCCAAGUUCCUUGUUCCCAGAUCUGAUAGACCAAGAGCAGUUCAUAACUCAUGGUCUAAGGCUAGAGGAAGGAAGCACAGGGCUGUACUAGGCUGCAGCUCUGGCCCUGGUCUGUGUGAUCAGGCAGUGCACUGUGUCCUAGCUGCCUGAGACAGAGCUCAGACGCUGGAAAGUGGUCAAGGCAGAAAGAGCCUCUAGCAACCAAAAAUAGGAAGGUAUAGGAUAGGAAACCAAGCCAGAUGAAGAAAUACACAGGAAAUAAACUGGGUGAAAGGGAGAUAAAAACAAUAUACUAUAGAAAUAAAAGAACAAAUUUCAAAAUAAAAGAGAGUUACACAGCAUUGACUCUAGAUAGCGCACCUGUAAUUCCAGAGUGAAGAAAUCUCAGUGGAGUCAUCAAGGGCACACACUGGUCCGUGGAAGAUUUCUGUUACCUCUCUCAUUUCCUCAGGAUGCCCCUACCUUGUUGAGAACCAAUAAAUGUAGUUCAGACUGUAAGGAACUGUGACUUACAUGCCGCAACUCUCUAAAAUAUUUCAUAAAUGCAAUUGAUGCGGCAGAUAUAAAAGACACACUCGUGUAGAUAAAAUUGCAUGAGAAAAGUGUUUAUUUUACCAGUUUCACACUGGGGUGAAGGGGAAAGAACUGCUUAAAAAAUCUGGAGCUAUGACCACACCAGAAUGCUCAGCAGUAAACUAUGUUAGCGUUUCCCUGGAAGCAAAACACUUGGUUCAGGCAUGAUCACAGCAUCUGACCUCUCUGUUAACAACAAAAAUGAAAGUGUGAAGUGUGGAUGUGGCUUGCUCACUGUAGAAUGCUAGGCCUAAUGUUUAACUACCCAUAGCCCAGCUGACCUGAAAUCCUGGAACUGAGGUUAAUGUAUGCAUGUGUGGAGCCACCACGUAUCUCUGCACAAGAAUGCAUAGGGUAAUCUUUCUUGUAGCACUGACAAGAACAUUUACAUUUUUUUUCCAGGUUCUGUAGUUAUGAUCUGAAAUGUCAGAAUCAGUAACUUCAAUUUAAAAAGGCUCUACCCUCUUAUGAAAAUUUAUGAGGGCAAUACUAUCUAAACACAGUGGCUUUAAGAACUGGUGUCCUGGUUCUGGCCCAGAUCAGAAGGAAGGGAUGUGACCAAGCCACAUUACUCUUUCCAGUAAAUUGUUGUUUCCAGUAAA